rnacentral:rRNA from 1 species
AGAGUUUGAUCAUGGCUCAGAUUGAACGCUGGCGGCAGGCCUAACACAUGCAAGUCGAACGGUAACAGGAAACAGCUUGCUGUUUCGCUGACGAGUGGCGGACGGGUGAGUAAUGUCUGGGAAACUGCCUGAUGGAGGGGGAUAACUACUGGAAACGGUAGCUAAUACCGCAUAACGUCGCAAGACCAAAGAGGGGGACCUUCGGGCCUCUUGCCAUCAGAUGUGCCCAGAUGGGAUUAGCUAGUAGGUGGGGUAACGGCUCACCUAGGCGACGAUCCCUAGCUGGUCUGAGAGGAUGACCAGCCACACUGGAACUGAGACACGGUCCAGACUCCUACGGGAGGCAGCAGUGGGGAAUAUUGCACAAUGGGCGCAAGCCUGAUGCAGCCAUGCCGCGUGUAUGAAGAAGGCCUUCGGGUUGUAAAGUACUUUCAGCGGGGAGGAAGGGAGUAAAGUUAAUACCUUUGCUCAUUGACGUUACCCGCAGAAGAAGCACCGGCUAACUCCGUGCCAGCAGCCGCGGUAAUACGGAGGGUGCAAGCGUUAAUCGGAAUUACUGGGCGUAAAGCGCACGCAGGCGGUUUGUUAAGUCAGAUGUGAAAUCCCCGGGCUCAACCUGGGAACUGCAUCUGAUACUGGCAAGCUUGAGUCUCGUAGAGGGGGGUAGAAUUCCAGGUGUAGCGGUGAAAUGCGUAGAGGUCUGGAGGAAUACCGGUGGCGAAGGCGGCCCCCUGGACGAAGACUGACGCUCAGGUGCGAAAGCGUGGGGAGCAAACAGGAUUAGAUACCCUGGUAGUCCACGCCGUAAACGAUGUCGACUUGGAGGUUGUGCCCUUGAGGCGUGGCUUCCGGAGCUAACGCGUUAAGUCGACCGCCUGGGGAGUACGGCCGCAAGGUUAAAACUCAAAUGAAUUGACGGGGGCCCGCACAAGCGGUGGAGCAUGUGGUUUAAUUCGAUGCAACGCGAAGAACCUUACCUGGUCUUGACAUCCACGGAAGUUUUCAGAGAUGAGAAUGUGCCUUCGGGAACCGUGAGACAGGUGCUGCAUGGCUGUCGUCAGCUCGUGUUGUGAAAUGUUGGGUUAAGUCCCGCAACGAGCGCAACCCUUAUCCUUUGUUGCCAGCGGUCCGGCCGGGAACUCAAAGGAGACUGCCAGUGAUAAACUGGAGGAAGGUGGGGAUGACGUCAAGUCAUCAUGCCCCUUACGACCAGGGCUACACACGUGCUACAAUGGCGCAUACAAAGAGAAGCGACCUCGCGAGAGCAAGCGGACCUCAUAAAGUGCGUCGUAGUCCGGAUUGGAGUCUGCAUCUCGACUCCAUGAAGUCGGAAUCGCUAGUAAUCGUGGAUCAGAAUGCCACGGUGAAUACGUUCCCGGGCCUUGUACACACCGCCCGUCACACCAUGGGAGUGGGUUGCAAAAGAAGUAGGUAGCUUAACCUUCGGGAGGGCGCUUACCACUUUGUGAUUCAUGACUGGGGUGAAGUCGAAACAAGGUAACCGUAGGGGAACCUGCGGUUG